GCUCGAGUGGCGAACGGGUGAGUAACACGUGAGUAACCUGCCCUUGACUUUGGGAUAACUUCAGGAAACUGGGGCUAAUACCGGAUAGGAGCUCAUGCUGCAUGGUGGGGGUUGGAAAGUUUCGGCGGUUGGGGAUGGACUCGCGGCUUAUCAGCUUGUUGGUGGGGUAGUGGCUUACCAAGGCUUUGACGGGUAGCCGGCCUGAGAGGGUGACCGGCCACAUUGGGACUGAGAUACGGCCCAG
rnacentral:rRNA from 1 species